rnacentral:lncRNA from 1 species
AAAGUGUUGAAGCUCCUGCUUCAUCACCUCACCUCUUGUCCUCAAUUCCUACUUUUGCACAGGCAACAUCACAGUUGUCUCGAAUAGAAAGGACCUGGAAGAAGUGACCUGAAUAUCAUACAGGCAGAUUCUCUGGUCUUUAUAUUAUUAGAUACUCCUGCCACUGUCAGUGCAAAAAUGAAUAAAAUAUAGUGUCAAUCCAACAUGCACUGAAAACCCCCAAGCUGUGCCAUUUGGCAAGAGGUCACUCUAGGUCACUUUGAGUAUGUUUUGCAUAAAAGACAGUGUAGAAAAUAAUGAAGCUAUUGUCACCUUUAAUAGCUUUUAGUGUCAGAUAGUAAUCCAGACAUGUGCUUUCCCAGUUUAUUCUCUAUUGUAUUUAUGUUUCUGUCAAUCACUCUUUUUCAUUUUCUUUGUGUUCAUUUCCUGAGAAGGACUGUCACAUGCAUUAUGCCCAUUAAAUCCUAGUGCCAGUAAGUUUUAGGUAAGAAUAAUUUUGUUCUCAAGCCAAGAAAGUGGAGGCAUAAUAGACUAAAUUCCUUGAAAAUUCUUUUCAGUUUCUGAGUUCUAUUUUAUACUUUGGAACAGCUGUUCUUUUCUAAGACCCCCCCA